UUUGUUGUUUGUUUACACUUCACCUGCCACAGAUCCUCCGUGGCCUAAUUGCAUCUUUAACACAGGCAUCUCUGUCUUCUGGACUCUGUUCUCCAUCCUUUACACCCUCUACCGUGUGUAAUGUAUGUGAGACCCCACCAGGAGGCGGCCGUGCUGCCCUCCCCACUUUACAGAUGGGCCAACAACACAGACACACAGUUUAGAGCCUGGAGUUGAGUCUAGCCCGCCUGUCCCCACAGCCAGAGUGGUUGGCAAGGAUGACCUGUCCUGCUUCUGGGAAGGCAAGAGUCAGAGCGAGUGGAGAAGGUCAUUUACCUGUGCAGUAAGAUCUCCUCAGCACGGUUGCUCUCAGGCAAGCAUUCGUCUUGAAAAUAAAUCAGGGACUAUCUUAAAGAGAAAAAAGCUCUGGACCUACAGAAAGACGAGCACUACCCCUCCUGGAGCACGGAGUGUUUUAAGAACAGACUUCGCAGGUGAGACCCGCAUGAGCAGCCCAGGAGAAUCAGAGGCACCAUCAGACCUCAGGCCCGGCCCUGAAUGUGAACACCAGAGAAGCUUCCUCUAUGCAGGGAUCUCGGACAGGGCCAAUGCUUGCCCAGGAAGCUGAUGAUCUACAGCGCACAAGAAAUUGACUAAGACACAAGUAAAAGUGUUAAAUAAACAACAACAAUGGCAGUGAAACACUACUCACAUGGUGUUGUUAAAAAAGGCAUUCAUAGAUAUGAUCGGAGGGGUCUGGGGGUACGUCUCUGUCCAGGAUACCUCUAUGAGGAAGGCCUUGGGAUCACCGU